rnacentral:lncRNA from 1 species
CGGAGACGGAGAGAGGCAGGCAGCUUGGAGAGCAGAGAAAGGCAGAGAGAGCGAGAAAUAGAGACAGUCUGAGAGACAGACAGACAGCCAGAGAGAGCGGGAGGGAGGAGGGCGGAGGAGGAGGAGCAGGAGGACUACGCGGGGCGCGUUCCCUCCCAGCCGGGCGCCCGCGUCGCUGCCACCGCCGGAAGACAGACGUCCCCCAAAACCCCUCGCCUGGCUCGGACCCACGGAGCCGGCAGCCCAGCACUCCGAUGGGAGCUUGCCUGAUUGUCAACCCAUCGGCCUGGACCCCAGAGCCCACCCAGCUGAGCGUGUGCAGAGGGCCCCGAGUGCGGGGCGACGCUCAGGCCGUUGCAGAGACCACCCUGGAGAUGCUGAUGAAGACAGGCCUUUCCUGCUGAGCCCAGCCUAUCUUCGCAGCCUGCUCAGGUAACAGUGUGCA